rnacentral:lncRNA from 1 species
CAGGGUCUCAUUAUACAUCCCAGUCUGGGUUCAAACUCCUGACUCUCUGAUCUCAGCCUCCCAAGUGCUGGCAUUAUAGGCCUGGAUCCACUACGUUUGGUCAAAAUGCUGAACUCUUACCUGUGGCUCUGGAGAUGUUUGCUGCCAAGCUAACGGUUUUGGAGAUACCAGGACCAAGGCAACUGGUAAAAGAAAGCAGUUUGGAGCUUGCUUACAGUUUCAGAGGGUGCGUUCAUGACCAUCAUGUCAGGAAGGAUGGCAGCAGGCAGAACAGUGGAGUGUAGGCUGAAGGGUGAGUCAUUUUGGACCACGGUGAUGAUGGCAGUAUCCUAGAGAUGACAGAAGAACAAACUGAAUUAAUGUACUGUGAUGAUUAAGAAGUUUUUACUGGGGCUCAAAAGAAGAAGAGAGGAGGCUGCACACGACACAUUUGCCUGCAUCUCAUUGUCCAGAAAACACUACUGCUGACCCUUAGGCCACACUUUCCUGCAAGAUGGGCUGAGAACCGCAGCCCCCACCUCUGUGGCCAGAAAUCUGUUACAGAACAAAAACCGGGUCUUGGGAAUUAGCUGGAAGAUUUUGGCCACAAAUCAUCAAAACAGCUAAGGUUAGAUAGUCUGACUUAGAAAUGGACUGAUUUGUUUUUUGUUUUAAAGAAGGCAAAGACUUCAAAGGCGACCCAGACUCAAGCCUCUGGCCAUUACCCUUAUGCUUUGUUUGUAA